rnacentral:lncRNA from 1 species
GCCGACUGCCCUCCAUUAAAACCCCCAACUCUCUCUCUCUUUCUCUCUCUCUCAUAUUCGUCUUACUUUCUAGGUUGAGCGUUCGAUCUGGUUGUUAGACUUUGUGCGAGGUAGGGAUUUCCUACCAGAGCGGAUCUCCUCCAUCCACGGCUUUGGUGUUGGGGUCCGGUCGUCGGUGAGUGGAUCUUGUGGUGGAGAGGGAGUGGUAGGACAUUCGGAGCAUG